rnacentral:misc_RNA from 1 species
GAAAAAUAUAAGCAUUUCAAAAUUACAUAACAAAAUUCUUUAAAUGUUAAGGAGCAAUAUAUUACAUCCAUCUGAAAAGAAAUGACCAUAUCAUAUUCUAGAAUUAAUACUCUAUGAGAACUCGCAUAAUUUACAUUGGUCAUAUACCAUCUUCGUAGCUAGACACCUCAAGAAUAAAACUAGUUGGUAAUUUCCAUAAGCCAAAAGAUGCGAAACCUAAUAUUUCUCUUGCACGAUGAGCAACUUCAGCGAUAAGUCUAUUAAGUUGAGACUACAAAAAAAUUCAUCCAUACAUGAUAAAUGAUUGUCAAUGCAAUCAACAGGUUCCACAUAUUCCUAUAAGGCCAUUAAACAUUACCCGAGAUCCCAAAUCUUGAAACUUCUGUUAGCAAUCCUCUCACAUAUCAUACUUCAUCUGAUACACCCAAAGGUCUUGUUCUCUUUAACAUGUGUUCUAAUCAGUUGUUUGUUAAUCUACUGUUGAGUUAUUAUAGGAGUCUUCUAUGCUUUAGCAUAGAAGGGAGGAGAUUUCCUUUCCCGACAGUGAAGUAGGGAAGACGACGAGCUAGAAGGAGCAGCAACUUCACUACCCCAACGACACUCCGACGAGCUUUGCAAGAGGCGAGCACAAAAGAAAUUCUCUUAUAGAUUCUUGCUUGAGGAACUUCACUACUAAUUUUUUUUUUGAUGUAUGUAUUCUUGUAUUUAUAUUUCUUUCAGAUUUUUUGUCUCCCCAACUCUAUCUAAGUAUUCUCCUCUGUUUUUCUCACCUCCAACACUAAAGGAAGAGAAUGUUUAUAUAGAGGGAAUUA